GCCGAUUUAGUUCAGUUGGUAGAACGGGCCGCGGGACGACCCAUGCGCUGGUUCAAGUCCAGCAAUCGGCA
rnacentral:tRNA from 1 species